UCGGAAUCACGGGGCGUAAAGCGCACGUAGGCGGAUUGUUAAGUCGGGGGUGAAAUCCUGAGGCUCAACCUCAGAACUGCCUUCGAUACUGGCAAUCUCGAGUCCGGAAGAGGUUGGUGGAACAGCUAGUGUAGAGGUGAAAUUCGUAGAUAUUAGCUAGAACACCCGUGGCGAAGGCGGCUCUCUGGUACGUGACUGACGCUGAGACGCGAAAGCGUGGGGAGCGAACAGG
rnacentral:rRNA from 1 species